UGAAGUUCUCACGCAGCAUGACAGUGACAAUGCGCCACUUUCAUUCUUCAAUUACAAAACCUCAUUUAAAAGUUUCAUGCCUUCCAAGGCCCUUCUGACCUCAUCUCUAGUUAUAGAAGGAGUCUCUGCAACCUGUUCAUUAUUGUUCCGUGUGGAGAUGUCCUGACUCCUCUGGGUACUGCACAGCCCCGUCAAAAUGUGGCUGCUCUGACCAGGAUCAAACCCGCAACCUUGAGAAAUGCCAUAGCCGCAGAGCUACCGUGGUUCCAACCCUGUCCAUCUCAGGAGGAUAUAUCCGGACGUCUACUCAGAUGAUAACUGCAAGCUAUGCAGCAGGGCUCACGCAACUCUUAGACACAUUCUCUGGGAAUGUGACAUUAUAUGCGAAGAAAAUGCAGUUUCCCCAGAUGAAGCUGCGGCGCGAUGGACGGCCGCGUUGCGCAGCUCAAACCUCGGAAAUCAACUAUGGGCCAUCCAGCAAGCCCGUGAGGCGGCGAGGAGACAGGAUCUCCGGACCUCCUCGGGGGUGGCCUAGGCCCAGGCCACGAAUUUGCCGGAUUGUUAAUAAAGUUGUUACCACCA